rnacentral:rRNA from 1 species
CAGUAGCCGCGGUAAUACGAAGGGUGCAAGCGUUACUCGGAAUUACUGGGCGUAAAGCGUGUGUAGGUGGUUGUUUAAGUCUGUCGUGAAAGCCCUGGGCUCAACCUGGGAAUGGCAGUGGAUACUGGCUCGCUAGAGUGUGUCAGAGGAUGGUGGAAUUCCCGGUGUAGCGGUGAAAUGCGUAGAGAUCGGGAGGAACAUCAGUGGCGAAGGCGGCCAUCUGGGACAACACUGACGCUGAGGCACGAAAGCGUGGGGAGCAAACAGGAUUAGAUACCCCCGUAGUCCCUGUCUCUUAUAC